rnacentral:rRNA from 2 species
GGUGGAAGUGCAGUAAUGCAUGGAGCUGACUGUUACUAAUCGGGUGAGGGCUUGACCAAA